rnacentral:rRNA from 1 species
UACGUAGGGGGCAAGCGUUGUCCGGAUUUAUUGGGCGUAAAGAGCGUGUAGGCGGUUCGGUAGGUCCGUUGUGAAAACUCGGGGCUCAACCUCGAGACGCCGAUGGAAACCCCCGAACUAGAGUCCGGAAGAGGAGAAUGGAAUUCCUGGUGUAGCGGUGAAAUGCGCAGAUAUCAGGAAGAACACCCGUGGCUAAGGCGGUUCUCUAGUACGGUACUGACGCUGAGACGCGAAAGCGUGGGGAGCGAACAGG